AACAGAACCCAGCAGCGUGAAGAAAUUUCUCUGAAUCCCCCCCCCCCCCCCGCGUCUCCUUCAUGUGCAAAAUUUCCCAACGAUCUUCUUCUUCCCCUUCAACGACGCGCCUCACGCAAGCGUAAGCAACAAAUUUUGUGUCGUCUUCCUCCUUCACCCGUACAGCAGUGCGCUCGCGUAGCUCUGCAGUAGGGAAGGCUGCAAAUUCCGUCCUUGUAGCGUAGGAUCACUCCACGUAAUGGUGCAAGGACACGCGAUUGAUCCAAGCCCUCUACAUAUGCUCCCUUUCCGUUGGAAUGGGACGAAUUCGAGAGCAUCUUCAGGGCAUAUUCCCUCAACCUUUGGAUAAGAUUUGGGAAUUGGUUUUUCGAAUUUUAAUGGGCCUGAAAGGGCAUCUGCCAGCCCUCUCCCUUGAAGAACCCUAAUUUUUUUUCUAUAUAAACGUCCAUCUUCUUCAGAAAAGGGGUUGGAAAAAAAUGGAUUGAGAUUUCCUCAGAAGGUUGUUCUAUUGUUUUUUUCUGUUCGAUUUUUUUUCGAGAGUAGCGCUCAAUCUGUCUUAGAAAGGUUUACCAAAAACGUAAUAAGCACAGAGAUAAACAAAGGGAAUUGAGAAGAAAUCGAGAGAUACGUUCUGUUUCAUCUCAGUGUGUUCGACUGUGGUAUUCCAUUGAAACGUCGUAGCCGUCGUUCGUGUUUGCUUUCGGCGUGGAAGCUCAUCCUUGUUUAGCUCGAAUCCCAAGUAUCGCAGCUCAUCAACAGGUAAACACCCCAUUUACGUAAUCUUCUUCGCCUCUUGGUUUCAAUGUGAUGGAUUAAGGGUUGAAAACCUUUGUUGUGUGUCUGCUGGAUUGUUUGUCACUAUUGGAUCGACAUUACAUGAUGUGUGUUCUGGAGUUUUUUUUUUUAUAUAUAUAACUCAUGUGUUUCUGUUAGAUUCAUUAAGUAAAUACAGUAGCCGGUUAGAGCUUGGAAGUCCGAUAGCUUUAUCAAAGAUGAUAUUCUGUUAUUCUUCCUUAUUGAGCAUGUUUUCCUUAAUAUAGUUGAAUCUGAACUGAUGCUUAACAUUCGAUGUCUUAUCCUUUAUUCUUUCACCUCAAGUUGAAAGAAUGAAUUGAGAUGUCAAAAUUUGGAUUUUACCUGUGGUGCUUUUGAUUGUUCGAAGUUUAUGUGUUGCACCUUCGUCUCGUCUAAAUGAUUUUGUGGUUCAGAGAUGAUUCUCAAGUUCAGCUCCUAGCAGAAGUACGUCAUUGAUUUUAGGUUGGGUUUAUGGUUUAGUCUUAUUUCAGAAGGUUUACAACCUUAAAAGGUUGAUUUUACACUUUUUUUUGGCUUUAAAUACAUAUCUGUUUGUUUGAACAUUUGUGUUAAACCUUAUAUUGUGCUUUUUGUUGCCUUGGUUUGCUUGCUGCUUUGCAUAAAGUUGGAGAAAUGCUAAAAAUAGAUAAAAAGAAAAUCUGUCUUUUUGUUCUCGUGUCUAUUUUUAGCAAAAACAGUGGCAUGUUUUUUUUGUUGAUAUGUUUAUCGUUAUAUCUAGUCCGUGUAGGGCCAUGUUGCUAGAAAAUAGGAUAUGUAUUUCCAUACAUGUGUGCUCCUUUGAAUUAGCUCAGAAAUCGCCAAGCGCAUUGUAGAUUCUGCAGUUGUAUUUGAAUACUUUGGCGUGUAAUUUUUAAAUAGCUAUAGGUAAAUUGUUCUAUUCCUGCUUUUAAAUAGGUUGCUCUAUAAUCGUGUAUGUUACUGCUAAUGUGGGUUUUGAAGUUGCUCUAUAGCAUGAAAAAAUGAUUUUUCCGUUGGCUUGAAAAUUAUUGCUAAAUCAGUUCAAUCUUAGAUGUCGUACGAUUUUGCUAACUAAAAAAUGAUUUCCUUGUUCCGGUUGGAAAUGGGUUUGUUUUCUACAUGUUAAAGAAGAGCAUUAGAUCAGAUUUUUUUUAUAUUCCAUUUUUAUUUUGUUUUGCUUUAUUUAAUUCUCAAUUAGUAUGAAUUUGGUCCACAAUUUUAGAUUUGGCUUGGCAUUAUUAUCGUUUUCUUUGUUUUAUGUCAUGUUUUUUUUGUUAUGUGUGCAAGAGUUGCUGUUGAGAUUUGAUAAUGGUGGGUAUGAUUCAUUAAUGUUUGCAUGUGUUGUUAUAAUAAAAUAGUACCUUGGAAAUUGUGAACUUGUGUGUUGCAAUAAUUGAUAUUAAUUUUGCCUAAGAAGUGGAACAUCGCACUAAUGUUUUUUUUUUGUUUUUGUACGAAAUUUAUCCGAGUUCUUUAUGAACUCCCAUUUUCCCUCGCUUCGCAACGGAGCCAUUGAGGCUCGACAUCUACAUCGAGUCAACCCAUCAAGGCCGACGUACCAUGUAAAAUGAUUGAAGAUUGAAGAAAUUUUGAAGAAGGCGGAUUAAAAGAUUUUUUUUAUUUGUUAUGUUGUAUUUAUUUUGGGCAUAAGCCUUUGUCGUUUUUUACCUUUCUUGUAUUUAUUUUGUAUGCUUAGACUAGGACAGGUGAAGUGGAUCGAAAACCCAAACGAGAAAUGGGUUAAAAACCCAAAAAACAGGUGGAUCCAAAUUUCGGUCAAGGCGGACAGAACCCGAAAUUAGACCCAAUCUCUUUCUCUCUCUCUCUCUCCCUCCUUUACUAUAUCGUUUACCUGCCUUCGUUUGGUAGUCGUUAGCUUAGAGUUAGAAAACUCCGACCCCAUCGAACGUCAUACUAUUUUAUCAAACCUAAAAUUAAUUUGAAUAUUAAAGCGAUAAUUUUCCGAACUCGUAAGUCUCGCCUAAUUUAAAUUUUAGGAAGUUUAACUUCAAAUAAAAUUCGCAAAUUUUAAAACAAAUAUUAGUCAAAUGGUUAGUUGCCGGAAAGCCGCAUUAAGCGGAAUGUCUUUGGUGCCUUCAAAACC
rnacentral:lncRNA from 1 species